UCCCUCUUAGCUCAGUGGUAGAGCGCUUGACUAGUAUUUGGUGAAUUACUCCUAUAUCAUGAAGAGAUCAGUAGUUCCAGUCGGGUAGAGGAAG